rnacentral:tRNA from 1 species
GGCUCCAUAGUUUAGUGGUUAUGACACCUGGUUGUCGCCCAGGAGACAGCAGUUCAAUUCUACUUGGAGCCG